AUGGAUGUUAAGAUCAUAUUCUGGAAUGUUCGCGGUCUUAAUAGCCGGGAUAAACGAGUUGCAGUUCGCUCCGUCAUUAGCUCCAUUUCAUCCGUGGUUUGUUUGCAAGAAACCAAACUCUCGUCGGUUUCGCAAACUCUAGUCUUUGAGACUCUUGGCAGCACAUUUGAUGGGUUCUACUUCCUCCCGGCGAUUGACACCUAGGGUGGCAUCAUCCUCGCAUGGCAGAGCUUCCAACUCACCCUCUCUAAUCCCAUGAUUGGCGACUACCAUGUCUCCGCCGUUGUGUGCCCCACCAUGGGCGGACCUCACCGGUGGCUCACGGGCAUCUACGACCCUCAAGGGGAUGACGCUAAGUUAGCUUUCCUAAACGAGCUCCAAGACCUCCGAUCCAGCAUCGCGGGCCCCUGGCUUAUAGGGGGCGACUUCAACAUGAUCACUUCAUUGUCGACAAGAAUAAUGAUCGCGUCUCGCGCCGCAUGA
rnacentral:rRNA from 1 species